GGAGAGGGAGGGGGGGAAGGCGGGAGGAAAGGAGGGAAUUAGGGAGGAAGGAAAGAAGGGAAAGAAGGAGGGAAGGAAGGAAGCGGAAAGCUUGACAGAUUCAUGAAUGAAGUUUAAAUGAUCUGGUGGCCUGCCAAAUGGAAUUGGACCUGACUCUAUUCCACUUUUACCAUCUCUACAGGAAUGAAAACAGUGAUCAGAAGGGACAGCUCGGGUAGUUUUUUUUAAUAUUUUUCAUAAAAAUGACAGAUACUUACCGCCUAUUGAUUUUGUAUUUUUGUUUUCUUGUACAGAGCUAUGGAUCUGCACAGAGAUGGUGUUGGAAUUGAAAAGCAGGUUUUGUAUUCGUGUCUCCUGUGUACCCUACCUCAGCGCAUGGCAGCCAUGCGGGAUGUCUUUCUGGUGUCCUACCUGCAGAGGUGGGCAGGACCCCUUGCCAUCCUGACUUCUCCCUCAGUCCCAGCUGGGGUGCCUUAAGAGCAGUGCAGGAGCACCCACAGCUACAGCACUGUCCGUUCUGGAGCUUGCCUCCCCUGCAUCCCUGGGGUCAGGCCACGUUGUGCUGCUCUGUACAGCCUGCUUGCAGUGAAACAGAAACAUGUACAGCAUAUGCUCACUGACUGCCUUGCAGAGUGCUUCUUCUGGAAUUAUGGAAAAGGCACAGAAGGAAAAUAGUGCAUCUAACAAAGUGCUCGUGUGAUGCAGCUGUAUCCGUUCUUAAUCUUCCAUUAAUGCUUCAUCGUAAGAGUACUGUACUUUCCGUUUGUUUCAUUUACCAAAGGUCAGCAUACUCGGAAGCUAUUGUCAUAGAGCAUUACAGACUUUCUACAUAUUUCUCUGGUAUUGUUCCAAGCAUUCGUAUGCGCGGAUGAGUCAAUUGGUAUGCAGAUUGUCUAUCAUUAAAACCAUUUCAAAAUCA